UUUUUUUUUUUUUUUUUUUUUGGAUCCAGUUUAUAUUGAUGAAUUAUGGUGGAAUGAAGCUAGAAACUAUAGAGUAAAAUGUUGUACUUCGAUAUAUUAAGUUUAUAUUUUCCCCACCUUUAAAUAAAACUGUUCCACCUUUUAGCUCGGUAAUGGAAUACACACGAUAGAAGGGUAUACCGUUCAACUAUGCCACGUACUCAUUCUCCUAUAAAGGAAACGAGAAGAUGUAUCCCCAGGGUCUUUGCUAGAAAUUUUUUUGGUUUCAGGAGAAAAUCUUACUUUCUUUUAUACGCUGCACAUUCUGUUCUCAAUGGGGAAGUAUCGGCAAUUUACCUUUUUUAAUGAUCAAAAAUGUGUAACUUCUCGUUUGUGAGUAGUUCACAAAUUUCCUGUUAAAAAGCUGAAGCCAUCUACUUUUUCUUAACCCAAGUAAUAAUAAGCCGACGGUAUUCACAACUUUCUUAAAUUUUUAAAUGGAAAACCAACAGUUUUUUGCAAAUGUAACUCUUGGGAAUUUUGAUCACAAAUUGUUAACAUUUGUGGAUCCUUUGUAUAUACUUUGGAUAUAUCUUAAAAGCAAAAUUAUCCCUCAAUUAACUGAUGGAUUCGUUUACUAAAGCACAGCUAUAUGUAUUUUUGAAUACAUAUUAUGAUCUUGAGACUUUAUAAAAUCAAUUUUUAUGGCAUUUAUGCAGUUGUAUAGGGUUUACGCCCUUUUAUAAUAUGCAGUAUACCACGAAGGUCACAAAUGUUGAGGAAUAAAAGCACUUCUUUGCUUUGGCAAUCAUUUUCAGAUCACUUUCUGUGUUUGGAUCCUCUGAUAUCAAUACAUACAGAGUUUUAGGAAUCCGUGGGUCAAAUACUGUCCCUCAAAACUUCCCACAAAGGUGAAGCUCAAAGUUCGUAUUCACUUGUAGGGAAUGAGUCCUGCGUUCACCCAUGUAUUGGCACCGUAAAGAAUUUGACCAUGCUGAUUUCCAUCUCAGACCCUAAGUUGACGUAUUGCCCUCUUGUUUUUAAGUAUUUCUAUCUUUUGUAUUUCAACAGAGGAAUCUCACAUUUCACUGUAUUUAUUGCCAUUAUUACUAUAUUUACUGCUGAAAACUGUAACAAUCUGAAGAUUUGUAAAAUGUUAAACAUAGUUCAUUAAAGAUAAUAAAUCUAAAAAUGUCCUUGAUGCUUUUUUUUUUUUUUUUUUUUUUUUUUUUACUUAUUUUAGAGGGGAGGGAGGGGCAUAGAGAGAGGGAGAGACAAUCCCAAGCAGACCCCAUGCUGAACCUGGAGCCUAAUUCUGGUCUUGAUUCCAUGACCCUGAGAACACAACUCAAGUGGAAACCAAGAGUCGGACAUUAAACCAACUCCACCACCCAGGCAUCCCCUUAAUAUAUUCUUUAAUUUUGGGUAAACUACAAAAAAUUCCUGCCUAAACUGUCAUUUAAUCUAAUAAAUAAUCAAUGAUUACUUUUUCCAUUAUUACACUCCCGGUGGCAAAAUGAAUAUUAUUUGCAUACCCUUUGUUUAUAUAAUAAACUUGAUUUCUCUCUGUAUUUCAUAUUCUCCAAAGUUCACGUUUUUACUGUUAAAGCUGAGUAUAGACAAAUUAUUUUUCCAUUCAAUGAAAAGACUUGUUAAGAUAAUGUGAUAGAAUAUAAAAUAAAAUUGUGGUACUCAAAAUACCUGAGUCAGAAAAUGAUACAAUAUCCUCUCCCCACCUCCACUUAAAGUAUUUGGACUUUAAACCUAACACAAUAUAAUCACACAAAGGCUGUUCACACUUAGAGUGCUAGAUCUCCUUCAAGAGCCCUUCUGCUCACCUAAUUGAACCAUACUCAAGUUCAGGCAAUUUGUAUUUUGGGCUUUUAGAAUACCUCUUAUUAAUUUAGUUUAAUUUUAUUUAUUUUUUAAGUAAGCUCCAUGCCCAAGGUGGAGCCCAGACGCAGGUCUUGAACUCACAGCCCUGAGAUCAAGACCUGUGCUGAGAUCAAGAGUCAGACACAGCCAGUAGAACCACCCACAUGCCCAUAUUUUUUUUUAUUUUCAAGUAAUCUCUAUACCCAAUGUGCACUUGAACUUAAAACCCUGAGAUCAAGAGUUGCAUGCUCUACUGACUGAGCCAGCCAAGCGCCCCUAGGAUACUUUUUGGAGCCAUUAGCUUGGCUGCUGUGUUUUCAGACAUUUUGUAUAAUUUACAUAAAUUAAUAUGGUAGUAGAAAUAUCUGUGGUUAGUUCUAAUGGGAAUUGGGCCCUGAAUCCGCUUACAGAUACAGUGCAGAUUAUGACCCCAGCACUGUUGUUUGAGAUAGACACUCCCAUUUGGAUCCCUGUAGAAUGGAAGCCAGGCUGUGUGGCUACUUCUGUUCCAGGGCCUGGUCUCCCACUCGGAUAGCCCAGAGUCUUGACAGAGAUAAUGUAGUUUCUGGACUCAUCCAAGCUCACAUGGAACUGAUUAUAAUAGAAAAUAGGUUUCAUAAAUCACGAUCAGAAACAUGGUUGCCAAACAAUGAUGUUCAUGAACCAGUCAUCACAUUCUCAUCUCAGAAGGGAAAUUAAUAGGGGAAGACUAAUAGGUAAGAACUAUAGGAAAGAUAGUCGGAUGGAGCUAGAUUUUAAAAUGAAUUUAUCAGAAGCGAUUUACUUAUCAGCUAAUUAAAGACCUUUCCCUAAACUACAUGCUGUUGACAUAGCACUAGUUAAAACUAUACCACAGUGUUGCUUUAUCAAGGAUUCUCAAAAUCACUUUGGCCUUUUUAUAGGUAGAUUUCUCUAGUACAGUUUCCAGGGAGAUAGAUUAAUUCUAUCAGUAAGCUAUCUCUGAAUCAACAGUGGGGUUAAAUUCUUUUGAGAACUUUUCUAUUGUCUCAAAUUUGGAUUUGUUUGCUCCAUCAAAAUACAUUAUUUCCUUGACUUUCUUCUUUUUUUCCUUUAUUUUGGGUCUGUGGACUUCUGUCCAACUGGGUUUUUUUUUUUUUUAAUAAAAACAUUUUCAGAGUUUGAUUAGAAAAAAGUCAUCUAGAAAUAAAUACAUUGAUUAUAAUCAAUUUAAAAUGUGAAAUACCAAAAGUUGCAAAUGAUGGAAAAAAAAUUCACUAAAAUAUAUAUGGCCAAUUUCUUAGGCAGAGAAUGGUGAUAAUUUUCUUUUUAAAUUAGAUAAACUUAGAGAUCACAUUUUAAAGUUACCUGGGUUUGUCAAAACUGCAAUAACACUUCUUUCCACUUUGUUAGCUA
rnacentral:lncRNA from 1 species